rnacentral:rRNA from 1 species
GUGUGUUAGUGGAAGCGUCUGGAAAGGCGCGCGAUACAGGGUGACAGCCCCGUACACAAAAAUGCACAUGCUGUGAGCUCGAUGAGUAGGGCGGGACACGUGGUAUCCUGUCUGAAUAUGGGGGGACCAUCCUCCAAGGCUAAAUACUCCUGACUGACCGAUAGUGAACCAGUACCGUGAGGGAAAGGCGAAAAGAACCCCGGCGAGGGGAGUGAAAAAGAACCUGAAACCGUGUACGUACAAGCAGUGGGAGCACGCUUAGGCGUGUGACUGCGUACCUUUUGUAUAAUGGGUCAGCGACUUAUAUUCUGUAGCAAGGUUAACCGAAUAGGGGAGCCGAAGGGAAACCGAGUCUUAACUGGGCGUUAAGUUGCAGGGUAUAGACCCGAAACCCGGUGAUCUAGCCAUGGGCAGGUUGAAGGUUGGGUAACACUAACUGGAGGACCGAACCGACUAAUGUUGAAAAAUUAGCGGAUGACUUGUGGCUGGGGGUGAAAGGCCAAUCAAACCGGGAGAUAGCUGGUUCUCCCCGAAAGCUAUUUAGGUAGCGCCUCGUGAAUUCAUCUCCGGGGGUAGAGCACUGUUUCGGCAAGGGGGUCAUCCCGACUUACCAACCCGAUGCAAACUGCGAAUACCGGAGAAUGUUAUCACGGGAGACACACGGCGGGUGCUAACGUCCGUCGUGAAGAGGGAAACAACCCAGACCGCCAGCUAAGGUCCCAAAGUCAUGGUUAAGUGGGAAACGAUGUGGGAAGGCCCAGACAGCCAGGAUGUUGGCUUAGAAGCAGCCAUCAUUUAAAGAAAGCGUAAUAGCUCACUGGUCGAGUCGGCCUGCGCGGAAGAUGUAACGGGGCUAAACCAUGCACCGAAGCUGCGGCAGCGACRCUKAUGCGUUGUUGGGUAGGGGAGCGUUCUGUAAGCCUGYGAAGGUGURCUGUGAGGYAUGCUGGAGGUAUCAGAAGUGCGAAUGCUGACAUAAGUAACGAUAAAGCGGGUGAAAAGCCCGCUCGCCGGAAGACCAAGGGUUCCUGUCCAACGUUAAUCGGGGCAGGGUGAGUCGACCCCUAAGGCGAGGCCGAAAGGCGUAGUCGAUGGGAAACAGGUUAAUAUUCCUGUACUUGGUGUUACUGCGAAGGGGGGACGGAGAAGGCUAUGUUGGCCGGGCGACGGUUGUCCCGGUUUAAGCGUGUAGGCUGGUUUUCCAGGCAAAUCCGGAAAAUCAAGGCUGAGGCGUGAUGAYGAGGCACUACGGUGCUGAAGCAACAAAUGCCCUGCUUCCAGGAAAAGCCUCUAAGCAUCAGGUAACAUCAAAUCGUACCCCAAACCGACACAGGUGGUCAGGUAGAGAAUACCAAGGCGCUUGAGAGAACUCGGGUGAAGGAACUAGGCAAAAUGGUGCCGUAACUUCGGGAGAAGGCACGCUGAUAUGUAGGUGAAGCGACUUGCUCGUGGAGCUGAAAUCAGUCGAAGAUACCAGCUGGCUGCAACUGUUUAUUAAAAACACAGCACUGUGCAAACACGAAAGUGGACGUAUACGGUGUGACGCCUGCCCGGUGCCGGAAGGUUAAUUGAUGGGGUYAGCGCAAGCGAAGCUCUUGAUCGAAGCCCCGGUAAACGGCGGCCGUAACUAUAACGGUCCUAAGGUAGCGAAAUUCCUUGUCGGGUAAGUUCCGACCUGCACGAAUGGCGUAAUGAUGGCCAGGCUGUCUCCACCCGAGACUCAGUGAAAUUGAACUCGCUGUGAAGAUGCAGUGUACCCGCGGCAAGACGGAAAGACCCCGUGAACCUUUACUAUAGCUUGACACUGAACAUUGAGCCUUGAUGUGUAGGAUAGGUGGGAGGCUUUGAAGUGUGGACGCCAGUCUGCAUGGAGCCGACCUUGAAAUACCACCCUUUAAUGUUUGAUGUUCUAACGUKGACCCGURAUCCGGGUUGCGGACAGUGUCUGGUGGGUAGUUUGACUGGGGCGGUCUCCUCCUAAAGAGUAACGGAGGAGCACGAAGGUUGGCUAAUCCUGGUCGGACAUCAGGAGGUUAGUGCAAUGGCAUAAGCCAGCUUGACUGCGAGCGUGACGGCGCGAGCAGGUGCGAAAGCAGGUCAUAGUGAUCCGGUGGUUCUGAAUGGAAGGGCCAUCGCUCAACGGAUAAAAGGUACUCCGGGGAUAACAGGCUGAUACCGCCCAAGAGUUCAUAUCGACGGCGGUGUUUGGCACCUCGAUGUCGGCUCAUCACAUCCUGGGGCUGAAGUAGGUCCCAAGGGUAUGGCUGUUCGCCAUUUAAAGUGGUACGCGAGCUGGGUUUAGAACGUCGUGAGACAGUUCGGUCCCUAUCUGCCGUGGGCGCUGGAGAACUGAGGGGGGCUGCUCCUAGUACGAGAGGACCGGAGUGGACGCAUCACUGGUGUUCGGGUUGUCAUGCCAAUGGCACUGCCCGGUAGCUAAAUGCGGAAGAGAUAAGUGCUGAAAGCAUCUAAGCACGAAACUUGCCCCGAGAUGAGUUCU